UACGAAGGGGGCUAGCGUUGUUCGGAAUUACUGGGCGUAAAGCGCACGUAGGCGGAUCUUUAAGUCAGGGGUGAAAUCCUGGAGCUCAACUCCAGAACUGCCUUUGAUACUGGGGAUCUCGAGUCCGGGAGAGGUGAGUGGAACUGCGAGUGUAGAGGUGAAAUUCGUAGAUAUUCGCAAGGACACCAGUGGCGAAGGCGGCUCACUGGCCCGGUACUGACGCUGAGGUGCGGAAAGCGUGGGGAGCAAACAGG
rnacentral:rRNA from 1 species